UACGUAGGGGGCAAGCGUUGUCCGGAUUUAUUGGGCGUAAAGAGCGUGUAGGCGGUUUGGUAGGUCCGCUGUGAAAACUCGAGGCUCAACCUCGAGACGCCGGUGGAAACCAUCAGGCUAGAGUCCGGAAGAGGAGAGUGGAAUUCCUGGUGUAGCGGUGAAAUGCGCAGAUAUCAGGAAGAACACCCGUGGCGAAGGCGGCUCUCUGGGACGGUACUGACGCUGAGACGCGAAGGCGUGGGGAGCGAACAGG
rnacentral:rRNA from 1 species